GAUGAACGCUGGCGGCGUGCCUUAUACAUGCAAGUCGAGUGGGUUUAGACCCACGGCAAACGGGUGAGUAACCCGUAGGUACUUUCCUUGUCACAGGAAUAACCCUCCGAAAGGAGGGCUAAUACCUGAUGUGAUCGCAAGAUUAAAGGGUAUCCGCAAGGAUUACCGGACAAGAAGAAGCCUGCGGCCUAUCAGCUAGUUGGCGGGGUAAAUGCCCACCAAGGCUAUGACGGGUAGCUGGUCUUAUGAGGAUGAUCAGUCGCAUGGGCACUGAGACACGGGCCCAACUCCUACGGGAGGCAGCAGUAGGGAAUUUUGCGCAAUGGGCGAAAGCCUGACGCAGCGACGCCGCGUGCGGGAUGAAGGCCUUCGGGUCGUAAACCGCUUUUAUAAGGGACGAACUUUGACGGUACCUUAUGAAUAAGAGGUUGCUAACUCUGUG
rnacentral:rRNA from 1 species